AAAGCUAGAGGAGCAAAUGGGAUUAGAUACCCCAGUAGUCCUAGCCGUAAAGGAUGGAUAGUGGGCGUUGUGCAUAUGGACCCAUGCAAUAUUGUAGCUAACGCGUUAAGUAUCC
rnacentral:ncRNA from 1 species